AGCGGGGUAGACCAGCCUGGAGUGGUCGUUGGGCUCAUAACCCAAAGGUCCGUGGUUCAAAUCCACGCCCCGCUA
rnacentral:tRNA from 1 species